GCGAUACUGGCGGAAUUGGCAGACGCAGCCGGUUUAAGCCCGGUCGCCGAAAGGCAUCCCAGUUCGAGGCUGGGGCAUCGCACCA
rnacentral:tRNA from 1 species